UAGAGAAAAAUGCUCUAGUGCCUCGACUCACGCCCAGAUGAACGGACUACCCCCUGCACCUUGUUUUUGGUUAUUCUACUAUGUAAGAUGCUCGUACUGACACUCUUAUCACGUGGUGAACUAUAAAUAAAUUCACGAAAAAUAUUAAGAAAAAUGUCUUUGUGUUGCGACUCACUCCGAGGGACAAUGGCUUUGAUCGUGCAUAAUGUUUAAUGUCCCAUCAGCAAAACAACGAGUGAAAAAUGAGAACUUU
rnacentral:lncRNA from 1 species